AUGCACCUGGUAAUUUGGUCUCUGCAUAACCAUCCGAUGUCACCUGGAAACUUUCUUUCUCAUUGUUCUUCGGUGGUUUCCUUCUUCCCGAUUCAGAUUCCAGGGACCCGAGUGCAGUGGAACUCCCCUCAUGGACACCAGCCUUCUAAGACCUUAUCAACUUUGCAUCAUAUCAAGAUCCACAAUCUCUGCUUCCCAUCAAGACCCGUGAUAAGAACCCAGGGACCAGGAAGCAGCAGAGAAGUGUUCCUCCCACUUUGUGAUGCUCCAGACAUGAAGAAGAGGUGCGAGAGGGGAUCGUUACUGAUCUGAACAAAGAGCCACCUAUGAGGAAAUCUCAAGUCUCUUUGACUUCCCUACCACAUCUGCAACUGCCAGUAAUGCAGCACCAUCGGCACCAAAGUCAUCAGUGACGCCAUCCGUACCACCAGCAUCACCACCAGAACUACUAGGAUCACCUCUUCCUCCUCUUUAUCUUCAUCCUCAUAGUACUAGCAUCACCACCACCACCACCACCACCAUCACCAUCACCAAAACCUAAGCACUAUCUUUAUUCCCAUCAGUACACUGUCAUCAGUCUUCAACCUCACCAG
rnacentral:lncRNA from 1 species